rnacentral:lncRNA from 1 species
AGCAGGGCUCAUGACAACAGAUGUCCUGCUCAGCUUGCCGGGAAAGGGACGCAUCUCAUCUUUGCCCUCCAAAGUCAACAGUAUAUAUCCAGGACCAUGGAAAAGGACCAGCCAUGGGUCCCGGCAUUGCCUGGCACUCAGGAGUGGAGCAGCUGGACGUCGUAGGACACGGGGGGCAUGUCGAGCAGCAGGUCCAGCCGGGUGGGCUUGCAAUAAUCCAGUCCCUGGAGUUCCUGCUUCAGAGGAUGCAAAUGACAGCAUAGGCAGACGAAGACACCACACCCAGCCUUCCCCUUUCUUCUCUAGCAUCGUCAUCCCUCAUAGUCAUGCCCACAUCAAGUGGCCCAAGGGAGGGAACGUUGAUGUAGAUCUCAGUUCAGUGUAGGAAAUGCAUACACACUCAUCCAGGCUCCACAGCCCAGAGGCCUCUGCACCUUGUCAGGUCUUUACCCUGCCUGGACCUGAGCCAUCAACAAGGCUUUUCCACAAGGUCCCCUGGGCUGGAUCCUGGAUUUGGAUGGCUAGGAGACGAAACGGGAGCAGAGAGGAGGCCUCACCGCAUCUGUCCACUGGACCUCCAGAGGAGAGCUGACCAUGCUUUCCCCACCCGAUGCUGCCCAGCCUUGGAUCGGGUAAAACAGCAAAGAGUUUGCACUCCUGGGUCUCUCUCGUGAGCUGUGCCACCCAAACCCGGAGGGCUGGAAAGAUAAAGGGCCUGCCUCACACCUAUGAUGCUUU